rnacentral:rRNA from 1 species
UACGUAGGUGGCGAGCGUUGUCCGGAUUUAUUGGGCGUAAAGAGCGUGUAGGCGGCCAUACAGGUCAGCUGUGAAAACUCGAGGCUCAACCUCGAGACGUCGGUUGAAACCGUGUGGCUAGAGUCCGGAAGAGGAGAGUGGAAUUCCCGGUGUAGCGGUGAAAUGCGCAGAUAUCGGGAAGAACACCCGUGGCGAAGGCGGCUCUCUGGGACGGUACUGACGCUGAGACGCGAAAGCGUGGGGAGCGAACAGG